GACGAACGCUGGCGGCGUGCCUAACACAUGCAAGUCGAACGGGGAGUUAUUUAUAACUCCUAGUGGCGAACGGGUGAGUAACGCGUAGACAACCUGCCUCUAAAUUGGGGACAACACCGCGAAAGUGGUGCUAAUACCGAAUGUGGUAACUUGGUCGCAUGGCUAGGUUAAGAAAGAUGGCCUCUAUAUAUAAGCUAUCGAUUAGAGAUGGGUCUGCGUCUGAUUAGCUAGUUGGUGAGGUAAUGGCUCACCAAGGCGACGAUCAGUAGCCGGUCUGAGAGGAUGAACGGCCACACUGGGACUGAGACACGGCCCAGACUCCUACGGGAGGUAGCAGUGGGGAAUCUUCCGCAAUGGACGAAAGUCUGACGGAGCAGCGCCGCGUGAGUGAAGAAGGUCUUCGGAUUGUAAAGCUCUGUCGUUUGGGACGAACGUGGAUUGUGUGAAUAAUGCAGUCUAAUGACGGUACCAAAGGAGGAAGCCACGGCUAACUACGUGCCAGCCGCCGCCGUAA
rnacentral:rRNA from 1 species